CCCCUAGAUGUUCUGGGCCGCACGCGCGCUACACUGAACAGUUCAACAAGUCUUAACCUUGGCCGAUAGGUCUGGGUAAUCUUUGAACGCUGUUCGUGAUUGGGAUAGACCUUUGCAAUUAUGGGUCUUCAACGAGGAAUGCCUAGUAAGCGCAGGUCAUUAGCCUGCGCUGAUUACGUCCCUGCCCUUUGUACACACCGCCCGUCGCUACUACCGAUUUCGAGUGGUCCGGUGAAGCUUUUGGACUGCGCGUGGCUUCGUGCCGUGUCGCGGAAAGUCAGCUAAACCUUAUCACUUAGAGGAAGUAAAAGUCGUAACA
rnacentral:rRNA from 1 species